rnacentral:rRNA from 1 species
UACGGGGGGGGCAAGCGUUGUUCGGAAUUACUGGGCGUAAAGGGCUCGUAGGUCGCCAACUAAGUCAGACGUGAAAUCCCUCGGCUUAACCGGGGAACUGCGUCUGAUACUGGAUGGCUUGAGUUUGGGAGAGGGAUGCGGAAUUCCAGGUGUAGCGGUGAAAUGCGUAGAUAUCUGGAGGAACACCGGUGGCGAAGGCGGCAUCCUGGACCAACACUGACACUGAGGAGCGAAAGCCAGGGGAGCAAACGGG